AUGCUCGCCGGCCGGCGGCGGCGGCGCCCGUGGGCGUCGCUUUCCUCCUUGGAGGCUCCGUCGAGGAGUUUUUGCACUUCCUCAGCUCUCGGGUUAAGAUCUACGGGCGAAAGUCAUGAUCCUGUUCGAUUGGGCGGCGGCGGCAUCUUCAAUGUCGUUUUCCCUCUUUGGGGCGCCGUCUUGGAGAUCUUGGCCCCUUUUGUGCUUCCUGCAGGCUGGACGUGCGCGGCAUCAUGGUUGGCCGGUGUGCAACUGGUGAUGCGUGUGGUUGGCGUUGCGACUCGUGUGAUGACGACGAUGAUGGCGUGCGAAGCUGGGUCGCGGCUUGCCCUUCUGAUGUCGACGGUCCGGUGCGCCAAUGGGCGUGCCUAUGCUGGCUUCUGGCUGUGA
rnacentral:rRNA from 1 species